ACUAGCCGGUUAGAUUUUUUGACAAAAUGCCGCGUUAUGCUCUUCAACCCUUCCACUGCUUGUCGUCUUCUGCACUCGUCUCGAACGGUGUCAUUUAGAUCCCCAUAUCUCCCAAGACUCUUCACUGGCUUCACAGAAACUGUUGGCAUUGCCUCACCAGUAUCCACAACAUCAUAUGAAAAGUCCUGACCAGCAAAGACGAAAACAGGGAGUAAACUGUUAAAGCAACCCUAUAAGGCCACUAAUUGGGAUCUGAACAGGCUGCAGGCCAUCAGACUCAGCAGUGGGUGCGGCUAAUGAACUGAAACAUGAAAAAGACUGAACAUGCCCACCAAGCACUUCCGUCCCUGACGCGCAGACUCAAACAGAG